CCUUCUGGAUAUGCUGAAACCUCCACCAGCAUUCCUGAAGUCAGGAAGUACUUCACUGAAGAGGAGGAAGACGCCAUAGAGGAACAACUUUUGGGCCUUUUGUGCAACUGUAACACUGAAGGUCUGCUAUCCCAAAUUUCCAGUUCCAGAGGCCUAUCAAACAACUAGCGUGAGGGGCAGUGCCUGCUCCCUGGGUGGGAACUGGGCCUGGUGGCUGCUCCUGGAAUAUCCCAGAGAUGUCGUAAAAGUCAAGAGAUCAUAACACAUGGUGCUUCAUCUUAUUAAAUGAGCAAGAAUAUAUGAAAAACAGAACUUCAAGAUAUUGUACAGUGGGGAAAUUGAGGUACAGGGAGGUGAAGUAACUUGCCCAAGGAGACCCAAUAGCAGACCAAUUCAUGAAGUCCUUCCAGGUGCAAAAUUCCCCAUGUUUCCAAAUCCUGAGAGCUGCUGGAUGCCUGAGAAACAGCUACACCAGCCAGAGUCUGGCUGAUGUUUGUAAGGACUGAGUGAAACCUGAGUAUCAGCUUCAGGAUUCGGCCCAGUCAUUUUUUAGGGUUAUGCUUUGUGUUGCAGUUUAAAACACUUUCAU